AGGGAGUAUCUGCCUGGAGUUUCUACCCCUAAUCAGCUGUCCAACCCUCAUCAUCCAUGGAGAGAAAGACCCCAUUGUGACCAUCCAGCACUCACAGUGUCUCCUCAAAAACAUCAAGGGAUCACGAUUACACCUGAUGCCAGAGUGUGAUCACUUUCUCCACCAGCAGAACGCUGAUGAAUUCAACAAACUGGUGGAAGACUUUCUGGAAGACUGAUUGAUUAACUAACACUGUGAAAUACGUGCAGGCCCUGCUGGCUCUCCUCUCCACCUCCAGCCAGACUGCCAGCAAGGAUGUUCCGUGUGCAAUUUCCUAUAUCUGUAUUUUCUGACUUCUGUCUUUGGGUUAGCAACUUGUCUUUUGUUUUCUUAUUUGAGUAGAUAAGUUAAGGUUGUGAGCUAGCCACUGGGGAAGAAUAACAAUUAUUAGCAUCUUCAGAGAGUUACUGGUAACUGAAGCGCAUAAAGGUUGUCACCUCAAGCUCAUUUAUUGUGGGAUGCCGUGAAAGUUGUGUCAUGAAAAAUAAAAGACUAAAGCUCC